UACGAAGGGGGGCUAGCGUUGCUCGGAAUUACUGGGCGUAAAGGGAGCGUAGGCGGGUUAUCAAGUUGGGGGUGAAAGCCCGGGGCUCAACCUCGGAAUUGCCUUCAAAACUGAUAACCUGGAGUAUGGAAGAGGUAAGUGGAACUCCGAGUGUAGAGGUGAAAUUCGUAGAUAUUCGGAAGAACACCAGUGGCGAAGGCGACUUACUGGUCCAUUACUGACGCUGAGGCUCGAAAGCGUGGGGAGCAAACAGG
rnacentral:rRNA from 1 species